ensembl:lncRNA
UUAGUUGUAAAAUCUUUAUUUCAGAAUGACUGUAGGGUGGAAUUUCAUAGGCAUACAACUAAUUUAUAGCUCUAAAUCACACUAACACUGAAUUAAAAACACUUUAUCUUGUAUAAAAAUCUGGCCUGAGAAAUUUUCAUUUGAAUUUUAAUCUACUUCUGUUUCACAUUAUAAAAAAGAAUAUAUGUAAAAACACCAACACAAUUGGGGGAAACAAUAGCUUAUACAUCAAGAGAAAUGAUUUCUAGCUGUAUGUCACUUAUCUUGAGAUCACAGAUCUGACAGUUGCAUUUAAAGAUCAGGAAAUAAGCCAGAGAAAGGUACGUGAACCACUAAAAUAAUGUCACAAAUGAAUGUAGCCUAGUUCAUUCAUUUUAAUGCUAGAAAGGCCUCUCAAAGUCUCAUUCAGAUGCUGUUUACUGUUACUUGCUAUAGAGUGUACUAUUACAUGAUUUCCCAACCCCCUGGAAAAUUAGAGGAAAUCUCCUACAGGCAGGCCCAGAAAUGACAGGUAACAGUGAGGGAAAAAAAAAAUCUCUAAACCCCAUUUAGGAAAUCAAAGAGCAAACACAUUUUGGGGGCUAUUCAGCAUAGGAGAUUCAACUAACCUAAGUAGGACCUGAAAGAAUUAAAAACACAAAUGAUGAUCCUGAAGAGAUUUAAUUAUCUUCAGUAGAUUCUGUUUACAAAAAGCAAGGAAAUGUAUAUUAAAUUGAGAACUAAUUCCAUGUUAAUGGUUGAAAUAAAAAAGUACGCAAAUUAAAAUCUUGAAUUACCUUUACCAUGCACCCUGCAAUGUCUGACAAAUAGAAAAUUAUUACAUAUAUACUGCUUCUAAAAUACACAAAAUAAUUCAUAUAAAAAGAAUACAGCACCUUUUUAACCCAUAUAUGAUUUAAAUCAUAACACCUUUUCUGGUGAAAGAAUCUCAAUCAUGUAAGGAUAAGUUAAGUCAGCUCCUCUCUGCACAAGAACUUUAUAUUGUGUCUUCAGCAAUCAACUGUGUUGAUCAUUGAGCCCUAAUGACUGUGAAACCUUCUUAAAUAACAGGAGACAUAGAGACAAAAAAUAUCUCCGUCAAAUCAGUGUCUCUCAAAAUGUGGUCUGUGAAACAGAACAACCAAAUCUCCUGGAGAACUGGUUUCAAAAUGCAGAUCCUGUAUCCCAAGUGAAACUACAUGAGUCAGAAUUCCAGGGGAAGGACAUAAGGACCUGCAUUUUUGUACCCCUCCCUAAGGGUGCCUGGUACACAUGGCAGUCUGAGUCACACAGGACACCUUCACUCUGAUGUGCAGCUUCAGCAACCCAGUCAGGAGGAGAAUGGCCAGGUCUAUGACUUAACCCUCCCUACUCUUGUCCCUAGUGUGCCCAGUAACACUCCUCUCGCUUUGACAUUUCUUAUGCUACACUGCAGAUAAUAAAGUUAAAUAUGAGCAUCUAUAAAAUACAUAUAAUUUUUUAAAAAUCUAAUAUGCCCUAAUUAAUUUUUAAAAGUCUGUAAGAUUUCUAAACCACAUAUGUGAAGCUGGACUCAAU